GAUGAACGCUGGCGGCGUGCCUAAUACAUGCAAGUCGAGCGAACAGAUGAGGAGCUUGCUCCUCUGACGUUAGCGGCGGACGGGUGAGUAACACGUGGAUAACCUACCUAUAAGACUGGGAUAACUUCGGGAAACCGGAGCUAAUACCGGAUAAUAUAUUGAACCGCAUGGUUCAAUAGUGAAAGACGGUUUUGCUGUCACUUAUAGAUGGAUCCGCGCCGCAUUAGCUAGUUGGUAAGGUAACGGCUUACCAAGGCAACGAUGCGUAGCCGACCUGAGAGGGUGAUCGGCCGCACUGGAACUGAGACACGGUCCAGACUCCUACGGGAGGCAGCAGUAGGGAAUCUUCCGCAAUGGGCGAAAGCCUGACGGAGCAACGCCGCGUGAGUGAUGAAGGUCUUCGGAUCGUAAAACUCUGUUAUUAGGGAAGAACAAAUGUGUAAGUAACUAUGCACGUCUUGACGGUACCUAAUCAGAAGGCCACGGCUAACUACGUG
rnacentral:rRNA from 1 species